CGCUAGUAAUCGUAGAUCAGCAUGCUACGGUGAAUACGUUCCCGGGUCUUGUACACACCGCCCGUCACACCACGAGAGUUUGUAACACCCGAAGCCGGUGGAGUAACCAUUUUGGAGCUAGCCGUCGAAGGUGGGACAAAUGAUUGGGGUGAAGUCGUAACAAGGUAGCCGUAUCGGAAGGUGCGGCUGGAUCACCUCCUUUCUAAGGA
rnacentral:rRNA from 1 species